CUCUCGGGGGCUCGCGCUGCGGAGAUCCACUUGUCAGUUCAAGGGCAGGACAGAAACUCUGCAAGCAGAGUCUUGCGAACAGGAAAUUUCUCAUUGACAAGGUCUUGGUUGAUGUGCUGUGUUCACCAUGGGAACCUAAGAAUUUAUCAUCUGUGUGAAGAGUUGCCUUCCUCUCAGAUGAGGAAACUGAGGCUUAGAGGAUAAUUAACUUGCCUGCUUGCCUGGACACUCAUUGCCUGAUUCCUAGAGCCUAAACUUUGAUCCACGCAGUCUUUCCAACUCUCCAGGCACCUGUGGUCAACGUCAUGACUCUGCCAAUUCCACAGGCGCAUCAUAAUUGGGUGCUCCCUUUGGAUCUAAAGGAAAUGGCCUUCACUGCAUGCUGGCAUGCCAAGGAUGCCCUCUGAGGACAUGACGACAGUGAAUUUGUCCCAAAGGUCUCUCUGAGAUGCCUCUCGUGUUCUGUCGCUUUCCAAGAUGCAGCCUGUUCAGGGUAAGCAGAAGCUCUGGGAUGACCCCCGUGACGGAGUGUGGUCACAUCCCCGCCCUGGUCUCUUUGACAAAGCAUGCUGGCCAGUCGGCGGAUGCCCUCACCAGUUCAAUGCCAGUGGUUGCGCCGGGACCUUCCUGCCCUAUUUGCUGGCACAGGGAGCGUGCAGGAGGGAAGAUCGAUCUCCAAGAUAAUUCAGGUUCUGUCUUUCUUCAAACCAGCCUCUGUCCUCUGCUCUAGCUCCGCCGACAAUGAUUAAUGCGCCACUGACAAUUUCCUUUCUUCGGCUUCUCCCUGGCUUUGGGGUUUAUUUCACAGCCUUUGCCAGAGUUUCUCCUCAGCAGAGAGUAAAUACUUGGAGAUUGGAGCACAGCCCUUGGUGUUACUCAGAAAGCGUCCCAGGCAGCAGGUGGCACGGGGCCAUCCCUGGAGUAGGUGAUGCCACUGUUUAGGGUUCAGUGCUAACCCACCACCUCCACCAAUGAAAGCCUAAUCUUUUAAUUAUUCUGAAAAUACCCAAACUAAGGAUGGCAGGGAAGGCAAUUAAUAGGAUUCAUACGGUCUAGUCCUCAUUUGUAAUUAUAUAUUAUUAUUUUUCUCCCUACUUUGUUCCAAUAAUGAUUUAAGGCUGCUUCCAAAAAUACACAAAACCCAGCAAAGAUAAAUAGAGUGGGACGUGAAUUAUAAUGUCAUGCCCACUCACAACCUCUGUGCUCCGUUCCACAUAUAGAACUGAAUUCAUAACGCCUUUCAAAAAGGAGGUAAUUGGGACUUCCAUGGUGGGGCAGUAGUUAAGAAUUCGCCUGCCAAUGCAGGGGACACGGGUUCGAGCCCUGGUCCGGGAAGAUCCCACAUGCCGCAGAGCAAGUAAGCCCGUGCGGCACAACUACCAAGCCUGCGCUCUAGAGCCCACGAGCCACAGCUACUGAGCCCACAUGCCACAACUACUGAGCCCGCGUGCCGCAACUACUAAAGCCCACGUGCCUAGAGCCCGUGCUCUGCAAUGAGAAGCCACUGUAAUGAGAAGCCCACGCACCGCAACAAAGAGUAGCCCCGCUCGCUGCAACUAGAGGAAGCCCGCGUGCAGCAACGAAGACCCAACGCAGCCAAAAAUAAAUACAUUUAUA